CCUACGGGAGGCAGCAGUGAGGAAUAUUGGACAAUGGGCGCAAGCCUGAUCCAGCGACGCCGCGUGAGUGAUGAAGGCCUUUGGGUCGUAAAGCUCUGUCAGCAGGGAAGAACGGCCGUGUGGUUAAUACCCAUGCGGAUUGACGGUACCUGCAGAAGAAGCCCCGGCU
rnacentral:rRNA from 1 species